GAGGGUAGAGCUCAGUGGUAGAGGGCAUGCUUAACAUGCAUGAGGUCCUGGGUUCAAUCUCCAGUACCUCCA
rnacentral:tRNA from 1 species